rnacentral:rRNA from 1 species
UAAUAGCGGGAGGCACGCAGUGGGGAAAUCUUGCGCAAUGGGCGAAAGCCUUGACGCUAGCCAACUGCCGCUGUGGGGGCAUGAAGCUUCUCGGAGUGUAAACCCCUUUCGACCCGGGACGAAUGCCCGCUAAGGGUUUGACGGUUCGGGUAUAAGAAGCCCCGGCUAACUACGUAGCCAGCAGCCGCGGUAAAGCGUAGGGGCCAGCGUUGCUCGGAAUUACUUGGGCGUAAAGGGUCCGUAGGCGGUGUGGCAAGUCGGAAGUGAAAUCUCUGGGCUUAACCCAGAGGCUGCUCCCGAAACUGCUGUGCUAGAGUGCGAGAGAGGCGAGUGGAAUUGCGGGUGUAGCGG